rnacentral:tRNA from 1 species
UAGGACUAUAGUUAAUAAUAACAUUUAAUUUGCAAUUAAAAAGUAUUGAUAAAUUCAAUUUGUCUUAA